GACGAACCGUGCGAACGUUAUUCGGAAUCACUGGGCUUAAAGCGCGUGUAGGCGGGAGGGCACGUCCGUCGCUGAAAUCCCCCGGCUCAACCGGGGAAGUGGCGCGGAUACGACUCUUCUGGAGGGGCGUAGGGGGACCUGGAACUUCCGGUGGAGCGGUGAAAUGCGUUGAGAUCGGAAGGAACGCCCGUGGCGAAAGCGAGGUCCUGGACGCUUACUGACGCUGAGACGCGAAAGCCAGGGGAGCGAACGGG
rnacentral:rRNA from 1 species